rnacentral:rRNA from 1 species
UACGUAGGGCGCAAGCGUUGUCCGGAAUUAUUGGGCGUAAAGAGCUCGUAGGCGGCUCGGUAAGUCGGGUGUGAAAACUCUGGGCUCAACCCAGAGCCGCCACCCGAUACUGCUGUGACUUGAGUUCGGUAGGGGAGCGGGGAAUUCCUGGUGUAGCGGUGAAAUGCGCAGAUAUCAGGAGGAACACCAGUGGCGAAGGCGCCGCUCUGGGCCGAGACUGACGCUGAGGAGCGAAAGCGUGGGUAGCAAACAGG